rnacentral:tRNA from 1 species
AGCUCUGAAGUGAUUCACAUCAAAAUGCAAGUUUGAAAAAGAGCCCUAAUAGGGCUCCGGGGCUU